rnacentral:tRNA from 1 species
GCGGACGUGGCUCAGUUGGUAGAGCAUCACCUUGCCAAGGUGAGGGUCGCGGGUUCGAGUCCCGUCGUCCGCUCCC